rnacentral:rRNA from 1 species
GUACACUCCUGCGGGAGGCAGCAGUGGGGAAUUUUGGACAAUGGGCGAAAGCCUGAUCCAGCAAUGCCGCGUGAGUGAAGAAGGCCUUCGGGUUGUAAAGCUCUUUUGUCAGGGAAGAAACGGUGAGAGCUAAUAUCUCUUGCUAAUGACGGUACCUGAAGAAUAAGCACCGGCUAACUACGUGCCAGCAGCCGCGGUAAUACGUAGGGUGCAAGCGUUAAUCGGAAUUACUGGGCGUAAAGCGUGCGCAGGCGGUUUUGUAAGUCUGAUGUGAAAUCCCCGGGCUCAACCUGGGAAUUGCAUUGGAGGCGGCAAGGCUAGAAUCUGGCAGAGGGGGGUAGAAUUCCACGUGUAGCAGUGAAAUGCGUAGAUAUGUGGAGGAACACCGAUGGCGAAGGCAGCCCCCUGGGUCAAGAUUGACGCUCAUGCACGAAAGCGUGGGGAGCAAACAGGAUUAGAAACCCGAGUAGUCCC